rnacentral:rRNA from 1 species
AGAGUUUGAUCCUGGCUCAGGACGAACGUUGGCGGCGUGCUUAACACAUGCAAGUCGAGCGGUUGAGAGGUGGGAGGUGAGAGGUUAGACGUGGGAGAAAGGAAAGAAAGAAUUCGGUUUUAGCCGAAUUCUAAUCUAAAGUUCUCACAUCCAACAUCUCACAUCUCACUUCUCAAUAGCGGCGGACGGGUGAGUAACGCGUGGAUAAUCUGCCUGUAAGACAGGGAUAACGCCGGGAAACCGGUGCUAAUACCCGAUAACCUCUUUGGAUCGCAUGAUUUGAAGAGAAAACAAUGCUACCACUUACAGAUGAAUCCGCGUCCCAUUAGCCAGUUGGUGGGGUAAAGGCCUACCAAAGCGACGAUGGGUAGCCGGCCUGAGAGGGUGACCGGCCACACUGGAACUGAGAUACGGUCCAGACUCCUACGGGAGGCAGCAGUGGGGAAUCUUCCGCAAUGGGCGAAAGCCUGACGGAGCAACGCCGCGUGAGCGAAGAAGGUCUUCGGAUUGUAAAGCUCUGUCCUUGGUGAAGAAUGAUGUGCUGGUACCCUUGGAGGAAGCCCCGGCUAACUACGUGCCAGCAGCCGCGGUAAUACGUAGGGGGCAAGCGUUAUCCGGAAUUAUUGGGCGUAAAGAGUGCGUAGGUGGUUUAUUAAGUCUUUGGUAUAAGUGCAGUGCUUAACCUGGGAAGUGCAUUGGAUACUGGCAAACUUGAGUACGGGAGAGGAUAGUGGAAUUUCGAGUGUAGGGGUGAAAUGCGUAGAUAUCAGGAGGAACACCCGUGGCGAAGGCGGGUUGCUGGACCAAAACUGACGCUGAGACGCGAAAGCGUGGGUAGCAAACAGGAUUAGAUACCCUGGUAGUCCACGCUGUAAACGAUGAGUGCUAGGUGUAGGGGGUAUCGACUCCCUCUGUGCCGCAGUUAACGCAUUAAGCACUCCGCCUGGGGAGUACGGCCGCAAGGUUAAAACUCAAAGGAAUUGACGGGGGCCCGCACAAGCGGUGGAGUAUGUGGUUUAAUUCGAUGAUACGCGAGAAACCUUACCUGGUCUUGACAUGCUGUGACAGCUAUAGAAAUAUAGACUUCUUAGUUUACUAAGACACAGAGAGGUGGUGCAUGGUUGUCGUCAGCUCGUGUCGUGAGAUGUUGGGUUAAGUCCCGCAACGAGCGCAACCCUUGUUGCUAGUUACCAGCACGUAAUGGCGAGCACUCUAGACAGACUGCCGGUGAUAAACCGGAGGAAGGUGGGGAUGACGUCAAAUCAUCAUGCCCCUUAUGUUCUGGGCUACACACGUGCUACAAUGGCCAGUACAGACGGAAGCGAAGCCGCGAGGUGGAAGCCAAUCCGAGAAAGCUGGUCUCAGUUCGGAUUGCAGGCUGCAACUCGCCUGCAUGAAGUCGGAAUCGCUAGUAAUCGCAGGUCAGCAUACUGCGGUGAAUACGUUCCCGGGCCUUGUACACACCGCCCGU